rnacentral:misc_RNA from 1 species
UCCAACUAUUAUGAGGACAACGUGCUAUCAAAACUCCAUUAAGACAUUACUUUGUGAAGAUAAACCAUCUAGCAUUGACAACUAAACACGUAUCUACAGCUGCUCAUCGGUAAUUAGAAUUGGACAUAUCUCUACCAGCCAUGUUUGGAUUCUGAUAGGAGUUCCCAUCAGAUGUAUUAGGAGCGUAGCUCUGGUUUGGCCCUGGACCUGUUUGGUAAGGCGUGUCUCCAUUGUUCUGUCCACCACCAUUGUAUUGGAAAUUACGUGCGUUGUUUGGCAUUCCGUAGUUAUUGGGAGGCACUCCACCCAUGUUUGGUGGCAUAUUCGGCUGCUGCAUCCCACCUCCACGGGGUGGCCCUCUCAUGUCCGGCUGCUGCAUCCCGCCUGCAUGAGGUGGUGGCCCUCCAUAGCCUU